AAGAGCCGCGUAAGAGACCUCUGGCGUCUUC
rnacentral:piRNA from 1 species